CAACAGAGUCAUUAUGUUUCCCUUCUUCACAUCAUGAUUGUCUUUUUGAAACUAUAGUAACCUAGGAGGCAGAUUUUUUUUCCCCUUUGUUUGUUUGAAUCACAUUGUUGAUAUAGUGUGCAUUGGAAACUUGAGGUAAUGAAUAAUAUUUGAAACAAUUAUAGUAGAGUAUAUAGGUAUAGUAGACAGAGUUAUCACAUGUAUUUGAAAGGACUUUGACUUUUUAUUUUCAGCUUAGUGAGAAGGGAAGCUAUCUAACAUCCAGCCACUAACUGCUGAUGGCCAGUAGACAACAGAAAGGGAACUCUCAUCAGCUGCUAAGUCCCACCUUCUGUCACUGCAGCUGGAAACAAACUGGCUUAGCUGCUCACUCAACGGUC
rnacentral:lncRNA from 1 species